GGGUUCUGAGAUGCUUUGGCAUCCUACGUGACCAGCAUGCUCGCCGAGAUGGCCAAAGAGGAGGUGGCCAUGCUAAUCGGUGUGUCCAAUGGGAUCAAAUACCUGGGCAUCAAGCUUGGGGACCUCAAAAAUUUCCUUGCUGAUGCUGAUUGGAUGAACAUCAUCGAUGAGAAUAUGCGGGGGUAG
rnacentral:rRNA from 1 species